rnacentral:tRNA from 1 species
GAACAACAGCAUUAAAAUGCACACUGGUUUCGGCCCAGUGAGAGCGGUCACGCAUUGUUUU